rnacentral:tRNA from 1 species
GGGCGGCUGGCCUAAUGGUAAGGCGUCUGAUUUCGGCUGAGCUAUGCUCAAUAAGUUCUCAGAAGACUGCAGGUUCGAUCCCUGCGUCGCUCA